rnacentral:rRNA from 1 species
UACGGGGGGGGCAAGCGUUGUUCGGAAUUACUGGGCGUAAAGGGCUCGUAGGCGGCCAACUAAGUCAGACGUGAAAUCCCCAGGCUCAACCUGGGAACUGCGUCUGAUACUGGGUGGCUUGAAUCCGGGAGAGGGAUGCGGAAUUCCACGUGUAGCAGUGAAAUGCGUAGAGAUGUGGAGGAACACCGAUGGCGAAGGCAGCCCCCUGGGUCAACACUGACGCUCAUGCACGAAAGCGUGGGGAGCAAACAGG